rnacentral:rRNA from 1 species
UACGAAAGGUGCAAGCGUUACUCGGAAUCACUGGGCGUAAAGCGCGCGUAGGCGGACUCGUAGGUCAGUUGUGAAAUACCUGGGCUCAACCCAGGAACUGCAGCUGAAACCGCUUGUCUUGAAUACUUGAGAGGGUGGGGGAAUACCUGGUGGAGAAGUGAAAUUCGUAGAGAUCAGGUGGAACACCGGAGGCGAAGGCGCCUGCCUGGCAAUGUAU